rnacentral:rRNA from 1 species
UACAGAGGUCCCAAGCGUUGUUCGGAUUCAUUGGGCGUAAAGGGUGCGUAGGUGGCGCGCUAAGUCAGGUGUGAAAUUUCGGAGCUUAACUCCGAAACUGCAUUUGAUACUGGCGUGCUUGAGGACUGGAGAGGAGACUGGAAUUUACGGUGUAGCAGUGAAAUGCGUAGAGAUCGUAAGGAAGACCAGUGGCGAAGGCGGGUCUCUGGACAGUUCCUGACACUGAGGCACGAAGGCCAGGGGAGGCAAACGGG